rnacentral:rRNA from 1 species
AACGAACGCUGGCGGCAGGCCUAACACAUGCAAGUCGAGCGAGCAUUUCGGUGCUAGCGGCGGACGGGUGAGUAACGCGUGGGAACGUGCCCUUUUCUGCGGAAUAGUCCUGGGAAACUGGGGGUAAUACCGCAUACGCCCUUUUGGGGAAAGAUUUAUCGGAGAAGGAUCGGCCCGCGUUGGAUUAGGUAGUUGGUGGGGUAAUGGCCCACCAAGCCGACGAUCCAUAGCUGGUUUGAGAGGAUGAUCAGCCACACUGGGACUGAGACACGGCCCAGACUCCUACGGGAGGCAGCAGUGGGGAAUCUUAGACAAUGGGGGCAACCCUGAUCUAGCCAUGCCGCGUGAGUGAUGAAGGCCUUAGGGUUGUAAAGCUCUUUCAGCGGGGAAGAUAAUGACGGUACCAGCAGAAGAAACCCCGGCUAACUCCGU